rnacentral:misc_RNA from 1 species
UUUCCGUAGGUGAACCUGCGGAAGGAUCAUUCACAAUAAGAGAUCUAUGACACUUUUUAAACAAUCCAUAUCUACCUUAUGUGCAACGUUAUGAGCCCCUCUAUAGUUAUCUUUUACGUUACGGAAGGGGGAACAUCUACAACGUAUAAACAUACACCUUAACUCAUUUGUCUGAACAUUUGUUAUCUCGAAUUAACUUAAUAAGAAAAUACAACUUUCAACAACGGAUCUCUUGGCUCUG